rnacentral:rRNA from 1 species
GGCGGACGGGUGCGUAACGCGUAUGAAACCUACCUUUAUCAGGGGGAUAGCCCGGGAAAACCCGGAUUAAUACCGCAUAAUAUAUUGAAUGGCAUCAUUUGGUAUUGAAAGAUUUAUUGGAUAGAGAUGGUCAUGCGUAGGAUUAGCUAGUUGGUAAGGUAACGGCUUACCAAGGCGACGAUCCUUAGGGGCUCUGAGAGGAGUAACCCCCACACUGGCACUGAGAUACGGGCCAGACUCCUACGGGAGGCAGCAGUAGGGAAUAUUGGGCAAUGGGCGAGAGCCUGACCCAGCCAUGCCGCGUGCAGGAAGACGGCCCUCUGGGUUGUAAACUGCUUUUGAAUGGGAAGAACGGUAAGCCUGCGGGCUUAAUUGACGGUACCAUUAGAAUAAGCCACGGCUAACUACGUGCCAGCAGCCGCGGUAAUACGUAGGUGGCGAGCGUUAUCCGGAUUUAUUGGGUUUAAAGGGUGCGUAGGCGGCUUAAUAAGUCGGUGGUCAAAGGUAGCAGCUUAACUGUUUUACAUGCCACCGAUACUGUUGAGCUUGAGAUAUGUGGAGGCAGAUGGAAUUUCCGGUGUAGCGGUGAAAUGCAUAGAUACCGGAAGGAACUCCUAUUGCGAAGGCAAUCUGCUACAGAUAAACUGACGCUGAUGCACGAAAGCGUGGGGAUCAAACAGGAUUAGAUACCCUGGUAGUCCACGCCGUAAACGAUGAUUACUAGUUGUUGGCCCGCUGGGGUCAGUGACCAAGGGAAACCGAUAAGUAAUCCACCUGGGGAGUACGCCGGCAACGGUGAAACUCAAGGGAUUUGACGGGGGUCCGCACAAGCGGUGAGCAUGUGGUUUAAUUCGAUGAUACGCGAGGAACCUUACCUAGCUAGAUGUGAGAGAAUGUAUCAGAGAUGGUACAGCUAGCAUAGCUCGAACAGUGCUGCAUGCGUCGUCAGUCUGCGGGGGAGGUUGUGUGGGUUAAGUCCCGCAACGAACGCAUCCUAUAUUUCUGUGCAGCAUGUAUGAUGGACUCGAUUA